AGAGUUUGAUCAUGGCUCAGAUUGAACGCUGGCGGUAGGUUUUAUCCAUGCAAGUCGAGCGGUAACAGACAUUUUGAUUCAGCUUGCUGAAUCUAGUGCUGACGAGCGGCGAACUGGUGAGUAACGCGUAGGAAUCUGCCCAGUAGCGGGGGAUAGCCCGAGGAAACUCGGAUUAAUACCGCAUACGCCCUAAGGGGGAAAGGGGGCAUCUUUGAUGCUCUUACUAUUGGAGGAGCCUGCGUAAGAUUAGCUUGUUGGUAGGGUAAAGGCCUACCAAGGCGACGAUCUUUAGCUGGUCUGAGAGGACGAUCAGCCACAUUGGGACUGAGACACGGCCCAGACGUCUACGGACGGCAGCAGGAGAGAAUAUUGGACAAUGAGGGAAACCUUGAUCCAGCCAUACCGCGUGUGUGAAGAAGGCCUUAGGGUUGUAAAGCACUUUAAGCGAUGAAGAAGAAAAGUAAGUUAAUACCUUAUUUUUUUGACGUUACUCGCAGAAUAAGUACCGGCUAACUCCGUGCCAGCAGCCGCGGUAAUACGGAGGGUACAAGCGUUAAUCGGAAUUACUGGGCGUAAAGCGCGCGUAGGCGGUUAAGUAAGUUGGAUGUGAAAGCCCUGGGCUCAACCUAGGAACUGCAUUCAAAACUAUUUAACUAGAGUACGAGAGAGGAGAGUAGAAUUUCUGGUGUAGCGGUGAAAUGCGUAGAUAUCAGAAGGAAUACCAAUGGCGAAGGCAGCUCUCUGGAUCGUCACUGACGCUAAGGUGCGAAAGCGUGGGUAGCAAACAGGAUUAGAUACCCUGGUAGUCCACGCCGUAAACGAUGUCUACUAGCCGUCGGGGAGCUUGACUCCUUGGUGGCGCAGCUAACGCGAUAAGUAGACCGCCUGGGGAGUACGGCCGCAAGGCUAAAACUCAAAGGAAUUGACGGGGGCCCGCACAAGCGGUGGAGCAUGUGGUUCAAUUCGACGCAACGCGAAGAACCUUACCAGCCCUUGACAUGCACGGGACAACCCCAGAAACGGGGCCUCUCUUCGGAGUCCGUGUGCAGGUGCUGCAUGGCUGUCGUCAGCUCGUGUCGUGAGAUGUUGGGUUAAGUCCCGCAACGAGCGCAACCCUCGUCUUCAGUUGCCAUCGGGUAAUGCCGGGCACUCUGAAGAGACUGCCGGUGACAAACCGGAGGAAGGUGGGGAUGACGUCAAGUCAUCAUGGCCUUUAUGCCCAGGGCUACACACGUGCUACAAUGGCCGGUACAAAGAGUCGCAAGACCGCGAGGUGGAGCAAAUCUCAUAAAACCGGUCUCAGUUCGGAUUGGAGGCUGCAACUCGCCUGCAUGAAGUUGGAAUCGCUAGUAAUCGUGGAUCAGCACGCCACGGUGAAUACGUUCCCGGGCCUUGUACACACCGCCCGUCACACCACGAAAGCCGAUUGUACUAGAAGUC
rnacentral:rRNA from 1 species